CAAUAGCGUAUAUUAAAGCUGUUGCGGUUAAAAAGCUCGUAGUUGGAUUUCUGUCAAGGACAACUGGUCCGCCCUCCGGGUGAGCACAUAGUUUGGUCUUGGCAUCUUGCUGGAAACUGUUGCUGCACUUGGUUGUGUGGCGCAGCAUCCAGCACUUUCACUUUGAGGAAAUUGGAGUGUUUCAAGCAGGCACAUGCCUUUGGACACAGUAGCAUGGAAUAAUUAGAUUGGGCUUUUGCUCCGAUUUGUCGGUUUCUGGAGCUGAGGUGAGAAUUAAUGGGGAUUGUUGGGGGCAUCCGAAUUUAGCCGUCAGAGGUGAAAUUCUUGGAUCUGCUAAAGACGGACAACUGCGAAAGCGUUUGCCCAGGAUGUUUUCAUUGA
rnacentral:rRNA from 1 species